GGCCCAAGAAGUAGAGCAGGCGGUGCCUGACGGCGCGUCUGACGCGAAGUUGGGUGGGGUAGAGAGUAGGGGGCGGUAGUCGAGGUGGUGGGAGAAGGAGGAGGCGGCGAAUCGCUUAUAAAUGGCGCCGAAGCAGACCCGAAGCCGAAAUUCCAGGAGGGUGAGAGAGUGCUGUGCUUUCAUGGACCUCUUCUUUAUGAAGCAAAGUGUGUAAAGGUUGCCAUAAAGGACAAACAAGUAAAAUACUUUAUACAUUAGGGUGGUUGGAAUAACAGUUGGGGCGAAUGGGUACCAGAGAGCAGAGUACUCAAACACGUGGACACCAAUCUGCAAAAGAAGCGAGAACUUCAAAAAGCCAAUCAGGAGCAGUAUGCAGAGGGAAAGAUGAGAGGGGCUACCCCAGGAAACAUCUGUUCUGCAACAGAAAAAUGUUGAAGUGAAGACAAAAAAGAACAAACAGAAAACACCUGGAAAUGGAGAUGGUAGCAGUACCAGUGGGACACCUCAGCUUCCUCAGAAGAAAAGGGCCUGGGUAGAUCCUACUGUUGAAAAUGAGGAAACAUUCGUGAACAGAGUUUAAGUUAAAGUAAAAAUUCCUGAAGAGCUAAAACCAUGGCUUGUUGAUGACUGGGACUUAAUUACCAGGCAAAAACAGCUCUUUUAUCUUCCUGCCAAGAAGAAUGUGAAUUCCAUUCUAGAGGAUUGUGCAAAUUAUAAGAAAUCUCCUGGAAACACAGAUAAUGAGUAUGCUGUUAAUGAAGUUAUGGCAGGAAUAAAAGAAUACUUCAGUGUAAUGCUGGGCACUCAGCUACUCUACAAAUUCGAGAGGCCACAGUAUGCUGAAAUUCUUGCGGAUCAUCCUGAUGCUCCCAUGUCCCAGGUGUAUGGAGCACUGCAUCUGCUGAGAUUAUUUGUGCGAAUUGGAGCAAUGUUGGCCUAUACACCUUUGGAUGAGAAGAGCCUUGCUUUAUUACUGAAUUAUCUUCAUGACUUCCUAAAAUACCUGGCAAAGAAUUCUGCAACCUUUUUUAGUGCCAGUGAUUAUGAAGUGGCCCCUCCUGAAAGCUGUGUGAGAGGCAUUCGUGCUCACUAUGUUUGGAUCUCUGUAAACACGUUUUUGUUCUUAGUCUUUCUCUUGUACAAAUGAUGUACUUUGAAGAUGUUAGUGUAUAACAAUUGAUGUUAGUUUUCUGUUUGAUUUUAAACAGAGAAAAUAAAAGGGGUUAUAGCUCCUUUUUCCUUUUCUUACUUUUUUUUUCAUUUCAAA